UAGGGAAUAUUGGACAAUGGGGGCAACCCUGAUCCAGCCAUGCCGCGUGAGUGAAGAAGGCCCUCGGGUUGUAAAGCUCUUUUGUCCGGAAAGAGAAGCAUUCGGUGAAUACCCGGAUGUUCUGACGGUACCGGAAGAAUAAGCACCGGCUAACUUCGUGCCAGCAGCCGCGGUAAUACGAGGGGUGCAAGCGGUACUCGGAAUUACUGGGCGUAAAGCGUGCGUAGGUGGUUGUUUAAGUCUGAUGUGAAAGCCCUGGGCUCAACCUGGGAAUGGCAUUGGAAACUGGGCAGCUAGAGUGCGGUAGAGGGUAGUGGAAUUCCCGGUGUAGCAGUGAACUGCGUAGAGAUCGGGAGGAACAUCUGUGGCGAAGGCGACUGACUGGACACGCACUGACACUGAGGCACGAAAGCGUG
rnacentral:rRNA from 1 species